GAUGAACGCUGGCGGCGUGCCUAAUACAUGCAAGUCGAGCGAACAGACGAGGAGCUUGCUCCUCUGACGUUAGCGGCGGACGGGUGAGUAACACGUGGAUAACCUACCUAUAAGACUGGGAUAACUUCGGGAAACCGGAGCUAAUACCGGAUAAUAUAUUGAACCGCAUGGUUCAAUAGUGAAAGACGGUUUUGCCGUCACUUAUAGACGGAUCCGCGCCGCAUUAGCUAGUUGGUAAGGUAACGGCUUACCAAGGCAACGAUGCGUAGCCGACCUGAGAGGGUGAUCGGCCACACUGGAACUGAGACACGGUCCAGACUCCUACGGGAGGCAGCAGUAGGGAAUCUUCCGCAAUGGGCGAAAGCUUGACGGAGCAACGCCGCGUGAGUGAUGAAGGUCUUCGGAUCGUAAAACUCUGUUAUUAGGGAAGAACAAAUGUGUAAGUAACUGUGCACGUCUUGACGGUACCUAAUCAGAAAGCCACGGCUAACUACGUG
rnacentral:rRNA from 1 species